CACUGAUUUUGUGUUGACAUGCCCAUAAAAAAAAGGUGGGGGCAUCAAACGCUACUUUUAUUAUAAAUCUGGGAUGCCUAAAACCUUUGCACAGUAUUGUAUGUGUGACAAGUUUGG